GAUACCACAUUUUUUCUUUCAUUUUCCUUUUCAUUUUCGGAGAGAGAGAGAGUGAAGCUGAGAAAGAAAAGAAGAAAAAGGGAAAAGAGAAAAGGGGAAGAACAAAGAGGAGCUAGGUUUUGGAGGAGACAUUAAAGAGGUUCUGGCGUUUAGUAGCUCUUGCGAGACUUAGCUGGAGUUUCUUCUGUGUUUGUUGGAGAUUAGAUAGUGAGUCGAUGCUCUGGUCAUGUAACACUGGGUAGACUAAGCGUGUUGAACUCAUGUUAUAUUUGUUUAUGCAUUAUGUUAUGACUUGUGAA